rnacentral:rRNA from 1 species
AACGCGAAGAACCUUACCAUCCCUUGACAUGUCGUGCCAGCCGGAGAGAUCCGGGGUUCCCUUCGGGGACGCGAACACAGGUGCUGCAUGGCUGUCGUCAGCUCGUGUCGUGAGAUGUUGGGUUAAGUCCCGCAACGAGCGCAACCCACGUCCUUAGUUGCCAUCAUUCAGUUGGGCACUCUAGGGAGACUGCCGGUGAUAAGCCGCGAGGAAGGUGUGGAUGACGUCAAGUCCUCAUGGCCCUUACGGGAUGGGCUACACACGUGCUACAAUGGCGGUGACAGUGGGAGGCGAAGGAGCGAUCUGGAGCAAAUCCCCAAAAACCGUCUCAGUUCAGAUUGCACUCUGCAACUCGAGUGCAUGAAGGCGGAAUCGCUAGUAA